CGGGGGCCCGGGGGGGGCGGGGACCUCCAGGUCGAUCUCGCCGGCCCCGUCCCGGUCGCCGACCGGGAAGCCGGCGGUUGGGGCCGCCGCCGGCGA
rnacentral:tRNA from 1 species